CGGGGUAUGCUCGCAGUCUGGUAGCGAGGUGGCUUUGGAAGCCAGCGGUCGUAGGUUCGAAUCCUACUACCCCGA
rnacentral:tRNA from 1 species